AGGAUGAACGCUGGCGGCGUGCUUAACACAUGCAAGUCGAACGGUGAAAGAGGAGCUUGCUCCUCUGGAUCAGUGGCGAACGGGUGAGUAACACGUGAGUAACCUGCCCCAGACUCUGGGAUAAGCACUGGAAACGGUGUCUAAUACCGGAUACGAGCUUCAGCCGCAUGGCUAGGAGCUGGAAAGAAUUUCGGUCUGGGAUGGACUCGCGGCCUAUCAGCUAGUUGGUGAGGUAAUGGCUCACCAAGGCGACGACGGGUAGCCGGCCUGAGAGGGUGACCGGCCACACUGGGACUGAGACACGGCCCAGACUCCUACGGGAGGCAGCAGUGGGGAAUAUUGCACAAUGGGCGCAAGCCUGAUGCAGCAACGCCGCGUGAGGGACGACGGCCUUCGGGUUGUAAACCUCUUUAGUAGGAAGAAGCGAAAGUGACGGUACCUGCAGAAAAGCACCGGCUAACUACGUGCCAGCAGCCGCGGUAA
rnacentral:rRNA from 1 species